GAGGCCAGCCUGUUUCAUGGGAAGAAGAGGCGGUCCAUUUAGCCCUUCUUGUGCCUGUUACAUUGGAAUAGCAGGCUGCCAUUUGGGCCAUCGAGUCUGUUCCAAAGUAACAAGAGAAGGCCCUUCAUUCUCUUAAGAUGCUGCCAGACUUGCUGAGGUUUUCCAGCAAUUUCUGUUUUCAAUUCUGGACUUCAUUACAACUGUGGUAAAAACAUGGACAAAGGAGCUGAAUUCCAGAGGGUGAGGUGAGAGCGACAGCUCUUGACAUCAAGGCUGCAUUCAACCGAGUGUGGCAUCAAGGAGCCCUGGCUAAACUGGAAUCAAUGGAUAUCAGGGGGCAAACUGAAGUCAUACCUGACACAUAGGAAGAUGGUCAUGGUUGUGAGAGUUCAAUCAUCUCAGCUCCAGGGCAUCUCUACAAGAGUUCCUCAGGGUGGUGUCCUCGGCCUAACCACCUUCAGCUGUUUCAUCAAUGACUUUCCCUCCAUCAUAAGAUGCUGCCAGAGCUGCUGAACUUUUCCACGAAUUUCUGUUUUUGUCUCUGAUUUACAGCAUCCGCCAUUCAUUUGGUUUUUAUUCGGCCUUUGAGCCUGUUUCGAAGGAACAGAAGGAGGCCAUUCACUUCC